rnacentral:rRNA from 1 species
UACAGAGGGUGCGAGCGUUAAUCGGAAUUACUGGGCGUAAAGCGCACGUAGGUGGAUAUUUAAGUCGGAUGUGAAAGCCCUGGGCUUAACCUAGGAAUUGCAUCCGAUACUGGCUAUCUCGAGUAUGGUAGAGGGUAGUGGAAUUUCCGGUGUAGCGGUGAAAUGCGUAGAUAUCGGAAGGAACACCAGUGGCGAAAGCGGCUACCUGGACCAAUACUGACACUUAGGUGCGAAAGCGUGGGGAGCAAACAGG